UUACCGCAGCAUGACAGCUUGCGUGCAGUGGUAGUGGUAGGAUAUGAGCGAGAUGCGAUAUGUGAAGUAGAGAUAAAAAUAAAUAGUAAACAAGCGGUAAAGUGCAGUUUCGCCAUAGCAAUCAAAUCGCAGUUAAAGUUCAGGAAUCAAGUUAUUUUGCGAAUUAAGUGGUAAUAAUUAGUAGUUGGAGUUGCAAAGGUACAGUGCGGUGCGAGGUGCUGUGUCAACUAAUAGAAAAACCGUAAGUUAAAACCUAAAAAGAAAUUUGAAUGGUUGGUGGAACGAUUCCAUAUAGUUCCCUGCAUAUUUUCCCUUAGCUGCACAAAUAUUCACCGGCACCGGGUAGCCCGGAAACAAAGAAAGUUACCGAAGAAACCUACCGUGCCAGUGUAGUGUAAUCAACCGCGCAAAUCUCCCAAUUUAGGGUAACUGUACCCAUAUUAAACCACCUUGAUUUGAAAGAUUGAAAAAGAAGUCGUGGCAGAGGAAACCACUUAAUUGUAAGUUGUUAGUUAUUAAGUUUUGUGUUGUUAAUUGUAUUAAUUGAAUUUUGUCUUGAAUUUUGUUAAUAAAUUUCAGUUUAAGCGUUGCUACAAAAAACUUGAGCCGCUCUAAAAACCUGGUUUCCCUCUCGGGAACAGGGGUAAUGGCAGAAAUUGAGAUAGGUCUUUAGGAGCCUAUUGAACCGAUGUUAAAAUAAACAUGCAAUAAUAUUUUUUGUUGUGUAAACAGAUUUCGCCUUUGAAAAACCAAAGAAUUCAUAUUUCUCGGUAACAUUUUUCUCCAGCAUUUACAGAUACUAAUGGCCACAUGAAUUGUGAACGAUUUAUCACAGACAAACAGACGUAACACUCUGAAAAUUCACAUCGUACACCGAUUUAACGGUCUUUUUCAAAAUUUGAUAGUUGGCCAACUGCCCAACCGUGGCGCUCGCAUCGUUUUUGUUCGAGUUUGACGUUUGCUCACUACCGCCACCUAGUUGGUGGUCGGCCAAACAUAGUCCUUUUAGCAUUGGGCGAAUAUGUUUCCGUGACUAUGAUUUGAAUCGAAAAAUGUUCGAAGUGUUACGUCUGUUUGUCUGUGGAU